rnacentral:rRNA from 1 species
AGGACGAACGCUGGCGGCGUGCUUAACACAUGCAAGUCGAGCGGAAAGGCCCUUCGGGGUACUCGAGCGGCGAACGGGUGAGUAACACGUGAGCAACCUGCCCCUGGCUCUGGGAUAGCCUCCGGAAACGGGGAUUAAUACCGGACAUUCACUUCCUUCCGCAUGGUGGGUGGUGGAAAGUUUUUCGGCCGGGGAGGGCUCGCGGUCUAUCAGCUUGUUGGCGGGGUAACGGCCCACCAAGGCGACGACGGAUAGCC